GGAUAAUAUUUCAGAGUCUGAAAUUCCAUUUCCACACAGACAUGGAAAUUUAUAUCAAAUUUAUUACUCAGUUCAUUGGCAUCAAGAAAGUGAUGAGGUAGAAAAAAUGAAAAUGAAUUGGAUUGGAAAAUUGUACAGUUAUAUGGAACCUUUUGUUUCAAAGUCUCCAAGAGCUGCAUAUAUUAACUAUAGAGAUCUUGAUAUUGGGGUGAAUAAUAUUAAUGGAUACACAAGCUACAAGCAAGCUAGUGUUUGGGGUGUUAAAUACUUUAAGAACAACUUCAAAAGAUUGAUAAAAGUGAAGACUAAAGUUGAUCCUCUAAACUUCUUCAGAAAUGAACAGAGUAUACCUUCUCUCAUGUGUUCAAGGGACAUAAAGAAAUCCUUGUAGCAGAUAAGGUCAUAAUAGAAUAAUGCAAUAUGCUUUUUUAUUUUUCUUUUAUUUCUGUAUUGUUUUUAAAAAAUAAAAGUUUGGCACAAAAAUGCUACACAAAAACGUUUAGUACGUUUUAGGUGGGUGAGCGUGCGGGUAUGGACCGCGGAAAAUAAAAUUGAGGAAUCAAUUUCCGUAAAACAAAAGAUGUAACACAGCAAAAAAAUAAAAUCCAUGGGUGUUAUGCUAGUAAUUGAGUUUGCUUGCAAUCUAGAUGUCAAUAAUGCUUUCUAUGCUGAAUUGGUGGGUGUUAUGCUAGCAAUUGAGUUUGCUCACAAAAAAUGUUGACAUUGUCUGUGGAUUGAAACAUACUUACAAUUGGUGACUAUGGCCUUCAAAUCUCGCUCUAUAGUUCCUUGGAACUUAAGAAACAGUUGGCUCAUUUAUAUCACUAUUACUAGUAGUACGCAAUUUAUUAUAUCUCACAAUUUCAGAGAAGUAAAUCAAUGUGUUGAUAGGCUUGCCAAUCUUGGCCUGCAAAUGGACAUUUAUCAUCGAUGGGAUAGCAUUCCUCCGACUAUUUUAAAUGCUUUCAUAAGAAAUAGAUUGAGUUUACCUGAAUAUAGAUUUUGUUAGUCUAUUGCUGUUUGAUCGUAUCCCAUAGAGUAUGUUUGGAUGGUGUAAUUGAAAAUUUUAGAGAGUUUAAAAUUGUAGGCAUUUCAAAUGAUUAAAUUGAUUUGCCUACAUUUCUAAAUAUGUUUAUUUGGACAGACUAAUAAAAAAUUAAAAAUUUCCUUCAUUUCUAAAUAUUUUGUAUAACUAUUAUAAGAUGGAUGGUCAAGAUGAUUCCCAUGAUUUAGGAAUCAUCUUGAGCCGUAGAUGAUCGUUCUCGGUUGGUAAUACUGAUUGGGAUGGUCACACUGUUGGACACGCGGUUGUAUGACAAACUCAAAACUAAACAAACUGCCUAAACUUCUAUUUAUUAAAAAAAAUACACAUAUAAAAUGUUAGAGCACAAUCAAUCACUUUUACACUUACACACAGACACACUUGUUUUUCACUUUCUGGUUUUGUCACCAGAGAUGAAGAAGAUUAGAAAAAGGGAGAAAAUUUUAGAGAGUUUUAUGAAGGAGAAAUAGGAUGCACGGUCAUAUUCAAUGAAUCACUAAGUUGUAAUUUUCUUAUCGACAUCAUCAAUUUAUUCAACACUUGAAAGAGCUAUAAUUGCUCAAGUACAUAACAGAAAUAAAACACGAACAAACUAGUUGUUAUAACAGAAAACUAACUCUAUCGACACAGUUACUUGCGCUACAAGAAAACUAUUAUUCUUAACUAAUUUGAAUUAAACUCACCACAUAAAAGAGAAAUAACGAAGCAUAUUACAUUACUCUAUUAUGAACUUAGAUGCUUCAAGGAAUUCUAUCUGUGUCCCUUGGACAAAUGUGAAGGUAUACUUUGUUCAUUUCUGAAGAAGUUUAGAGGAUCAACUUUGGUCUUCACUUUUACCAAUCUUUUGAAGUUGUUCUUGAAGUACUUAACACCCCAAAUACUAGCUUGCUUGUAGCUUGUGUAUCCAUUGUUAUUAUUCACCCCAAUAUCAAGAUCUCUAUAAUUGAUAUAUGCAGCUCUUGGUGACUUUGAAACAAAAGGUUCCAUAAAACUAUACAGUUUUCUAAUCCAAUUCAUUUUAAUUUUUUCCACCUCAUCACUUUCUUGAUGCCAAUGAACCGAGUACAAAAUUUGGUAUAAAUUUCCAUAUCUAUGUGGAAAUGGAAUUUUAGACUCUGAAAUAUUAUUCAUUAUGCCACCAUAAGGAAAAAAAUACACCAUUGAAUCUUUGGCACCAUCUUCAUGAAACAUACGCCACAUUCUUUCUAAUCCAAUUUCAGAAAUGGGAAUUCUCACAAAAUCAGACUUUACUUUGAAAAUAUCCUUUGCAGCUUGUGUUCUGUUGAGCAACAUUUCAGGUGAUUCGCCUUUCGGAAAUCCAUAAAGGUAAAGAACCGAUUCAAUCCAACUCAUCUCAAUACAAUCUUCUCUAACCAAACCAAGUUCUGGAAACUUUUCUUUCAUCAAGGGAAUGAGUUUAUCUACACUUCCAAGAAACAAGGCUUGAAAUAAAGCUUGUACUGUUGAAUUUGACUUACCUUUUUUACUUAAAUUUACCCUUUGCAAGAUAACAUAAAUGGCUAUGUUUUCAUCAAUUGUACUUGUCACAAACUGCCACUUGUGAACAAGCUUUGUUGCAUUUUGAUCCAAUGUUUUUGGCACAUUGAACACUGACACACUUGAUGGAACUUGAACAAGUUUAACCUUCCAUGAAAUUAUGACUCCAAAACUUGCUCCUCCACCUCCUCUAAUAGCCCAAAAAAAAUCCUCACCCAUUGCUUCUCUGUCAAGAAACCUACCCUUCACAUCAAUUAUGUGAGCAUCAAUAAUAUUAUCAGCUGCAAGACCGAAUUUACGCACCAAGUUUCCAUAGCCACCACCACUGAAGUGUCCACCAACACCUACAGUAGGACAAGCACCGGCAGGAAAACCAAGAUUUCGGCUUUUUCGGCUAAUUGUGUAGUAAAGUUCACCAAGUGUUGCACCAGAUUGAACCCAAGCAGUUCUUUUUUCUACAUCUAUUGUAAUUUCUCUGAAGUAUGUGAAAUCAAUGAUGACAAAUGGGACUUCAGAAACAUAGGACCGACCCUCGAAGUCGUGGCCGCCGCUUCGGAUUCGAAUCUGCAGGUCAUGUCUUUGGGAACAGAUUAUGGUUGUUUGAAUUUGGGAAAUAUGUUUAGGUGUGAUAAUGACAAGAGGUUUCGGUGUUGUUUUGGAUGCAAAUCUGAGAUUUUGAGUGGUAAAUUGGAGUAUUGAUGAGUAAGAGGAAUUGGUUUUGGUGUACACAAGUUUAGACAUUGAAGUUGAGUUAUGUGAAUAACUAUAGAGACAUUGUAGGAAAUUUUCUUCAUGUUUAGUAGUAUCAAUUGCAGAAUAUGUGAAUGAAAAGAAAACAGCAAUUAGUACAAUAAUCAAAUAUGAUCUUAGAGGAAUCAUUUUUUGUUGGUUAUGUUAUGCAUAUGCUGCUAGAAAAUUAAUUUAUAAAAUAAUUUCUCUCUAGUAGUAGUGUGGAUAAUAGAUUAAUUAAAUUAAAGCGUGCUAAUUAAAUCUAAUAUGGUAGACAAGUCGGGCAGGGUAUGAGUUCGUUAUCAACUUUACUUCAAAUUGGAAAAUAAUUUUUUUGAAACUUAGUUGUAACCAAAUCAUUUGUGAUUAGGUUUUAAUUUGGGUGGCAUUUAGAAUGCACAAGUGAAACUUUUUGUGUAUCAUACACAAAUGAGUUUUUCACCAUUAAUAUAUUAUUAAAUAAUUGAAUGGCCAAGAUUGAAGAAUGGUUACUUGUUUAAUGAGUCUGGUGUUCAAUUGUUGGUAUUUGCCUUAUGGUGUCUAACAGUAAUAGAAUUGCAUAGAUUCAUUUAUGAAAAAAAUAUUACGUAAAAAUAAUAAAAAUAUUGAAUACUAAAAAAGUAAUAAUUUUUAUCGGAAAAUAGUUCAUAAAAUUGUUUUUAUUUUUUGAAACCGUUCAUAAUUUAUUUUUAGAAAUAAUUCAUAUUUUGAAUGGAAAAUAAAAGUAUUAUUUUUUUUUUCAAAGAAAAAUAAAAUUAGUAUUAUACAACUCUAAUAUAUAUAGGGAAAGUUAAGGGUAUCACCACCAUUUUUUAAUUUAGAAUUAGAACAACUGUGAGAAAAAAAUAGAUUUUUUUUUUAGAACAUGAAACUUUAUCAUGUGUAUAUAUCCUUUAACUAGAAUGAUCAAAUGUUUCUUAUUCUGUUCAAGAUAACAAAUAUUCAUUUAAUACAGGUUUAAUGUUCAUGACAUUCUUCAUUGUAAAGAAACCUGAGAAUGUUGUUGUUUGUUUCUACUCCUAGAUGACAAAUAUUCAUUGAUUAACUCACCCAAACUAAAUAAAAUUACAUGAAAAUUAAGAAAUUAUUAGGAAAAAAAUGAAGCUUCAUUUCACACAGAGGAUGUUGUUGUUUGUAUCUAUUCCCAGAUUCAGAAAAAAUCAUUCAUCUUCAACAAUUUGGUGUUCUUUCUGCAAAAUCCAGAUCUGAGAAAUAAAAAUCCAGAAAUCAUAAAACAAACCUAGAAAUUGGUUGGCUUUAAAUCGCUGCUUUAGAUACGGGAAAACUCUAUGAUCUUCAUGGAGAACCCUAUAUCCAUUAUAAUUCAUUGCUUGGUGUUCGUCAAUCAUUUGGGAGUUCUUCCUAAAAUUCCAAAUUUAAUAAACCAUUUAUCUUCAUCUACAUUAACGUGAUCUUCUCCCUUCCCUUUUUCGUAGCAUAAAGGGAUACACAAGAAAGAUUCAUGCCCAAAAAAAUUUGUCAAAAAAGAUGAGGCGUAGAAAAGUUGGGUGGAUGAGGAAGAUGUGUUGUUGGUUCCAUCAAUGAAAGUGAAAUUGUUAGACAUAGUUGUUGCUGGUUGGUAAAGAAAAAAGAAUUUAUUUGAUUUGUGUUUAGUUGAGUAAUGACAAAAAAUAACUGAGACAACAUAUAUAAUUAUUGAGAUUCAAGUGGUCAAAUAUAUAAAAAUAUAGAAAACAGGCAGUACCGACUAUCGUAAGUAGAAGGCUACUUGGGUAUCAUACACAAAAUCAUUGAUUUGUGCAUGUUAAACGCCACCUUUAAUUUGGGUAGGUGACAACAUACUAUUCAGUGGAGUGCACACUUUCACGCUGUGGUUUUUUGUUUUUUGCUUUUGAGAGCUAAUAAUGUUGACAUGUGAUUGUGGCAGUGAUAAAUGAGUCUCACUGAUUUUCAUGUCGUAUAGGGAAAUGUGUUUCUACACUUGAGAACUAAAAUCUCUUCUAUAUAUAUAUUUGCCUUUGCCCGUGAUCUCGUAUAUACAGCUUUAUGCUGGUACGUAUAUUUGUAUUAUCUUUUUGUUUCUGUUUCUAGUAUUUCUAUUUCACACGUUCGUCCAAAGAAAAUUUUGCUGUCCUGCGUGCUUUGUGCAGAUUAGUUGUGGCAUAAGAAAUGCGAAGAAUAUAGAGGAAGAAGAUUAGAACCUUAAUUUGGAGAAGAAGGUGUUGGGUCCAGCCAUUGUCACAUGGUCAUGGUGCAUGUGAAGAUAGAGAGUUGCAUGUUUGUAAUUUGGUGUGUUGCAUAAGAGCAAGUCUUUUAUGUUUGCAACCCCAAAUCAAAAAAUAUUUAGGUAUUCUCACAUAUAAUGAAAAAAAAUUAAAAGAUAUAAAAUUAAAUGAUGUUAAUUGAUGAGACUAAAUUAAUUUUGUUUUAACUGUUUUUAUUUCAUGUGAUUGUGUCCAAAUAUUUUUGAUUUGAGGUUAUAAUCAUAAAAGACUUACUAAUGUAAAUUGUAAAAUGCACGUAAAUGACAAAUAUCAACAAGAAGAAGAAGAAGCAAGAAGCAUACUCUUGCACAAGAGAGCCCUACAAGAGAUAAAGAGCGAGAGCAAAAUAGAUCAUAGUGUUUCUUUGUGAGGGAAAAAUUAUACCCACUAAUGUGUGAAGUUUUUAUGUUCCCAUUAUGUACGGUGGAAGUUUAAGUGGCCUACUGAUCCCGUUCACUUUGAGAAGGUUUUUCUAUGUUGAAUAUUUUUUGGUGUUACUUUGCUCAUUUUAUUAUGUCACUAGGGUUUAUUUUGAGUUCAAGGAGGAGAGGGAAAUUGUUGAGGCAUUUCCCAAUAAAAUGGAGAAACUCAGAUAGGUUGAAAUCUUAAUCACACAUUUUUGUGUAGCAAAUGUGAGGUAAAAAUUGUAAUCCAUCUGGAAUGAAAUGCAAGCAAAACUGAUAGUUGAAAAAUCAAUGUAUGUGAUUAAAAAUUUAGUCUCCAUAUAUCAGAUUUUCAUCUAUCCUUUUUGCUUAUAUUUCAUCCCAAAGGAAGUAUAUUGGAUGAAAUUUUUGAGAGACUAAAAAUAAAAAUUUGAAAAUUUAUAGGGAUCAAAACAUAUUUUAAUCCUUAUUGGGUUGAAAAAUUAUUCUAAAUUUCAUCAUAAUUUUUUUUUUGGUUGCAAAGAUAAUAAAAGGAACAAACAAGAAAGAAAAAGAAAACUGAAAAAACAAGCUUAAUAUUCCCUAAGGAAGAAAGUGCCAGUGACAUCGCUUCUAAGAAGAUUGGCGAGACCAGCAAGGGACGACUCAUAAAUAACAAGGCCAACAUCAAAAGAAGAUUCAAGCUUUGUAAGGAAAUUCGCACAAUAGGUCCCUUAUCUGAGAGUGUGCCAAACCGUAAAAGUACUUUGAAGAAGUAAAUCUUUUAUGUCUUGGAUAAUGACCGUAUAAACAUGGUAUUUCUCCAUGGACCAUUAAUAAAAUUCAUUUAAAUAAGAGAGUCAGAAUAACAAACUAGCUCCGUAUAACCCAAAUCUUUGGCCAUAAUUAGACCAUAAUAGAUAGCCGAAAGCUCAGCCAACAUAAUAUCAUCUGAGUCUAGAAUAAAACAUGAUUUCAUCAUAAAUUUGAUAGAACUAACAUUGUCAUAAAUUUGCUAGCAUUAACUCUAAGACCACCUACGGUGAAAGAUUUUUUUUUCUCCCCAUUUAACAACCUUCUAAAUUGACAUGUGUCUUUAGAAAAAUGAAUGCCUAUAUAGAUGUAUGUUUUAAAUUUAUGAAAAAUGCAAAUUUGUACAUUUAGGGCACAUGCAUGUUGAUAUAAAAAAACAAAAAGAACAAAAAUUCUAGGAAAAAAUAAAAAUUAGACCUAUUGAUUUUCACUCAGUCAUAUGAUGUUUUUUUGUUUUGUUUUGAAGGACUCAGUCAUAUGAUGUUAAGAUUUUCUUUUUUACUAAUGUUAAAAAUGAGUCGAACUUAGUUCAAUAAAUAUCUGGUCAACUUUAUUUUGACAAAAGAAAAUUGAUUAACUUGAAACUCAAGUUAAUUUGUUACAAACAACUUUUCUGGCUCGAACUCACUUAAAACAACUCGCUUCAAUGUGCGGUCUAUAGGGGGAGAGUGUGUAAAAGAGUACUUUUUCAACGUGGGAAGUCAAUAUGACAAUGUUCCCUAAUUCAGACUUUUGUCCAGUGCUCCCUUCUUGUUCUUCCUAUGAUUAAAUUCAAGAUAGCAGUUGGCACAUCACAACUAGGGCCGUUCCUACGAAUUUGGAGGUACGAUGCUGGAAGUGAAAUGAGACCUAUAAUAAAAUGCAACGUUGAUCAAGCUGUAAAAUAAAAUGUUGAGGUUGAACCAUAAAAUAAAAUUAAGACAUAAUUAGUAAUUAGCAACAUUAUCAAUUAUACAUGUUAAAACAGAGAAUAAUCAAAAACUUAUAAAAUUAGGAACAGAACAGUGUCAGUGUUGUUUUGGAAAGGGGAAAACGUUAAUCUCUAUUUGAACUUCUAUAACUUAUAAAAUUAUGCAUGUUAAUCUCUAUUUGAACUUGUCAGCCUCAUAAAAUUUAUAAAAUUAAACCAUAAAUCAGCCAAUUUAGCAAUUUGAAAAACUCAUAAAAUUAAUCUCUAUUUGAAGAACUCAUAAAAUUAAUCUCUAUCAAUCGCUAUUCCAACAUUUAGCAAUUUUAACAUUCAAUAAAAAUCAGCCAAUUCCAUGAAAGGAAGUAAAAUAAAUCAAUGAAAGAGAGGUUAUUUACCUAAGGGAGUAACAGUGUCAGUGUUGUUUUGGAAAGGGGAAAACAUCAAUAGGAUGGUCGAUGAUGAUGAUGGUAUGGUCAAAAAUCGAAUUGGUUGAGAGAUGCAGUCAGAGGAAACGUUUGAGUAGUCGACAAUCGCGUUUGAAUCAUGAAGGAAGAAGAAAAACGAAAAAUUGAUGGUGAGAGGAAUGGAACGCGCGUUGGUAUGUAUCAGAGAAAGAGUAUUUUUUUUUUUAGUGGGGGGUACUGGGCUAUAAUUUUUUUUUAGGCCCAUACCCAAGGGAGGCUCGAUGCUAUAGCGCUGCUUGCACCCCAGGGUCCGGCCCUGGUCACAACCCUUUGAAACUCAAAACCAGAACCAAUAGCAACAUUUUUGUUGAAAUUUCUUGUUCUUCCUAUGAUAUUCAGACAAAAUCUUAAAUCUAUUUUGUUGAAAAAACUGAAAAUUUUGAAGGUUAAUAUCACUAUGUUCGAACGGCUACAUUGAACUAAGAACAUCUUUAAUGGGAGGUCCUUACUUAACAAGGACCACUCCCUGUUAAGAACCCCCAUUGGAGGAAGAAAAAAUGAAUCCCCAUUAAGGAACAGGUAACUAUAUAAGAAUCCCCUCUCUCCUAGGUAACUAACGGAUUUCACGUUUAAAAGAAGUAAUAAAAUAUGUAAUAUGUGGUCCCGCUUACAAAAGAAGUAAUAUUUUAAUAAUUAAUAGUUGUUUUAAAUAUUAUUUUAUCUAUUUAUCAUCAUUUUAAAUAAAAUGUAAUUCAUGCAAAUUAUUAUUAUUUUUUAACGAAUGAAUGUAAAAUUUGUAAUGAUAUUUUUUCCAUUUUCAAAUUAUUAGCAAAUGUGGCAGAAAUUUAAGUUUAUACGAAUAAAUAAAUAUUUUAUAAUUUAAUUUUUUUAAGGAUUAUAAUUAAUAAAUUAGUAAAUAAAUAUUUUUUAAGUUUUUACAAAUGUGGUCAUUUAUAAUUUAGUAAAUAAAUUAUUUUUGUUUAAUGAUGUAAAGUUAGUGGGGCCUAUUUAAGUACUUUUUAUUGGAGUCCUUAUUAGUGUACUCUCAUUGGAGCCAUUGAGUCAUUAAUAUGUAUUUUUAUUAAAAUAUUAUAAAUAAAUGAUGUGUAACAUGGGGUCCAUUUAAGGAGUCCCUAUUAAGGAACUACCAUUGUAGAUGCUCUUACUUAACAAGGACUACUCCCCGUUAAGAACCCUCCAUUGGAGGAAGAAAAAACGAGUCCCCCUUAAGGAACGAGUAACUAUAUAAGGACCUCUCUCUCCUGGGUAACUAACGAGUCUCACGUUUAAAAAAAAUAAUAAAAUGUGUACUACUUGGUCCCACUUGCAUAAAUGAGUAAUAAAAUGUGUACUACUUGGUCCCACUUGUAAAAAGGAGUAAUAUGUAAAUUAUUUUUCUUUAAUGAUGUAAAGAUAGUGGGACAUAUUUAUAUUUAAGUACUUUUCUUUGGAGUCCUUAUUAGUGUAUUGUCAUUAGAGUCAUUGAGUCCUUAAUAGGUACUUUUAUUAAAAUUAUAAAUAAGCGAUGUGUUUCGUGGGAUCCAUUUAAGAAGUCCUUGUUAGGAAACUAUCAUUGUGGAUGCUCUAAGCGUUGGUACGAAGCACAAAGAUGCAUUUAAUUUUAUAUGGUUUAUAUCUAAUCCUUUCCCAACAAAAUCAACACUUAAGGAAGAAAAAAAAUGCAUAAAAUCUUCAAUGUGAUAAAAAAAAAAGGGUCAUGUUAACUAGUGCCCCCGGGGCACUAGUUAAGAAAACUAUAAAGAGAAAAUUUUAAAUUAAAAAAAACACUUUAUUGACUUUUAAGGGAUUGCCAACACAAUUUUCAAUGUAAAUACAUACUAUAUUUAGUUCUUAACUAAACUAGUGCCCCGAGGGCACUGGUUAAGAUUCCCUGACAAAAUAGCAACUCAAUAUGAGAAUUUGAUGGAACUGUAAUUUUUUUUUUUGUAUUACUAUAUAAAUAAUAAAUGUGGGAAAAUGCAAUAUACUCGUAUACGGGUCGGUUUGAUAGACUUUUUUUUAUAAGUCUAAGCCUAGUCUAUUUAGAUUAAUAGGCUUUUAAAAAGCUCAUAUUUAACCUAUUUAUUAAACGAGUUAGACCGAAUUUUUGGUAGGUCGAGCCAUAGACCCUAACGGACGAUUUGACCUAUUCCCACAUGUAACUGAUCUGUUAGAGCACAAUACAGCUCACAAGUACUACAAAUAAGACUAAGAUAACAUAAUUAUAAGACUAAUAUAGGGUAAUUAAAAGAAUAAGAUAAAGUAAUUUUUUAAAAGACCCAAAUUAAAAACAUAUAGGACUAAGAAAAAGUAAUUUGAAAAAUAUUGUAUCAACUGUUAACAUAUGCAGCUCACAAGUACUACAAAAGUAGUACAACGAAGACCAAUACAAAUCAUAUAGAUGUACCGUAAAUAGUGUUUUUGAAAAAUUGCAUGAUAAGUAUUCUCUUCUCUCUCUUUUUUUACUCAAAUAUUCUCUUGAUGAUAAGUAUUAAAAAUUGAAAAAAUUGUAUUAAAAUUUACGUAAAUAAUAUUUUCAUGAUGUCAUAGUGGCCAGCAUUCCCACUACAUAAUGUGAGGCAAUUGAUUAUUUAGAAAAAUGAUAAACCUAAUCACUUGGACUGAAGUUUUGUUGUAACUUGAAGAGGUUGACAAGAGAUUAAUUAAAGCAUGUUGUUCUUAAAUAUUCUCUAAUUCAUUUUGUUUAUAGCAUAUGAGUAAGUGUGAUACUAUUCAAGUCUUCGCUCCUCUCUUUUUUCCCUUAAAUGCAAAUGUAAUGAUGAAUCAAAUGAUAAGAAAUGCUGAUUGAAGCAGCAGACAAAAUAAUCAAACAAAAACAAGAGGGAGCUAGCCAAGCCACAAAAAGAAAUGAAAACAGCUCUAAGUAACAAACAAGCCAAUUACGAUGAAACACAAGACUAAUUAGUUAAUUUAGUAAAAAAAAGACUAAUUAGUUAAUUUAGUAAAAAAUAAGACUAAUUAGUUAAUUAAGUAAAAAAAAUAAGACUAAUUAGUUAAAUUGAUACCAAUUAAGACCCGACCUCUAACAAUGAAGUUUGUCGCAUAUUAUGUAAAGAAGCCGAUGGAGGUACCUUACACUUUCGGUUUAACUUAUUGUACAAUUCCGAAUAAGAUUACCGAAAGUAUAAUUUAAAGACUAAAUUGUUUAGCCUAUGGAGUAUUUCAGAGACUAAACUAAUUAACUAGAUCUUAGUUUGAAUUAGUCGAUUGGACCAACCAACCAAGUUGUAUUCUCUCCAAUUGUCAAUUUCAUAUCUUUAAACUAAUUUUUUGUGCAAGUUAACUUUUUAAUUAUGUUUUGUUUUUAAUCAGAACACCUUGUAUCUGAAUUGGAUUAUGAUGUUUCAACAACAAUUAAAUUUUUUUUUGUCAAAACAACAAUUAUUAGUUAUUAUCCCUUAAAAAAAAAAAAAUUAGUUAUUAUGGCCCCGUUUGGAUAAACAACUUAUAUAGAUGCUUAUAGCAUUAGAGCUUAUAACAUUAGAGCUUACAUCAUAAACUCUUAUACUUGAUAAACUAUUUAUGUUUGGAUAUGUACACUAAAAAGUACUUACAUAAAUUGAAGUGUUUGGAUGUGACAUUACAUAAACAAUUAUCGAAAUUUUAAAUAUUUUUAAUUUAACAAAAAAAAUUAAAGAAUCGAACCACAAUUGUCAAGAUUUUUUUUGAUAAAAUUAAUCAAGAUGUAAAAAACAAUAUUAUAAUAUAUUAAUUAUAAUUAUAUAUAUAGUAUAAUCAAUAUUCGUCUUUAAAAAAUAUCAAUAUUCAUAUAAGACAAAAUUAACAUUUGAGGUGUAAAUAAAUAGUCUAAACAUCAUCAUACACAAGUAUAAUAAUAUAUGAUAAGCUUUCUUUUAAAAAAAAGUAUAAAAAUAUAAAUAUAAACUUGAGAAAUUAUGAUUGUAAACUUACCAUAUAUGUAGAUAUUAAUGUACAGUUUGUUACAAAAAAUGAAAGAUAAGUUAAGUUUAUUUUUUUAUUCAGUUUCAUUUUGUUACGAAACAAAAAAAUAAUAAAAAUCUUAGUUACGUGUGUUACUUUAGUAAGAUAAGUAUAUAACAAUUUUGUUACUCAUGCACAAUCAAAGAUAACUAACAUUAUAAUUAAAAUAUAUGUUUUUUUUAAAACAAAAAAAUAAAAAUAAAAUAUAUGUUUUGAAAAAGUGGAUCCAGAGAGAAUCGAAGGUUACAUAAAUUCAUAAGCUCCUUGUUAAGCCCCGUAAACUGAAAAUUCAGGCUUAUUAAAAUAUGGCAUAAGCAGCUUAUGAAACUAUGAUAAACUAUUUUUAUUUAUUUACCCAAACACCUUUAAAAAGGAUUAUGAGAGUAGAUAAGCCCACAUAAGCUCAAAAUAAGUCAAUUACGGAGCCUGUAUGUUUCAACAAUAUAAACAACGUGAUUCCGAAAGAAAACCAAAAGAAGUAGUUUUUCUUUGAAAAUAACAACUUUUUAGUUUUUAACAAAACAUUUUUAUAUUUUUUUGUACAAAAUUGAAUUUACCACUUUUCAUAAAUUUCUCAACAACGUGAAUUUACCACUUUUCAUAAAUUUCUCAACAAAACAUUUUUAUAUUUUGUUGUCUUAAUCAAUAUUAUAAGAGCACUCUUUAUCAUUAUUUUUUUUAAUUAAUAUGACCAAUUGAAACAAAAAUAAAUUAAACUCUAAUGGUUAAUAAGUUCGACCAAAUGUGAAUCAUUUGAAAAACUGAAGUUUAGAGGGUUAACAACCACAAAUACGACCAAUCGAUUGUCCACUUUCUUUAUUCAAUGUUUGGAAUGGUCUUCCUUCAUGUUUAGCAAGUAGCAGAACUAACAUAUUUUUAUAGUAAGCAAGAGGACUUUUGAUAUAAAUUAAAAUCACUCAAUCAUUCAAAAUGUCAAGAUAACGUAACGUGGUUGACUUUAUUAGGUAGGUAGUAUGUUUUUUAUAUUGAAUAAAUCAUUUGCCACAUGUGGCAUAUCAUAGUACACUAACUUUUUAUAUUAUAUGCACUACUAAGUACCAAUAUAAAUUAUAACCUAUAGAAACAACUCUCGCUUAUGAAUUUGAACAUCAUUUGAUCAAAAUCACAAACAAAAAAUGAUGCCUCUACGCUUAUAUUUGACAAUUGUACUAAUAGCAAUUGCAUUUUCAUUUACAUCUUUUGCAAUUGAUACAAGUCCUCAUGAAGAUAAUUUCCUUCAAUGUCUCUAUAGUUAUUCACAUAACAUAACUUCAAUCUCUAAAGUUGUGUACACAAAAACCAAUUCCUCUUACUCAUCAAUACUCAAAUUUUCAAUUCAAAACCUCAGAUUUGCAACCAAUGAAACACCAAAACCCCUUGUCAUUAUCACACCUACACAAAUUUCCCAUAUUCAAACAGCCAUAAUCUGUUCCCAACACCAUGGCAUGCAAAUUCGAAUUCGUAGUGGUGGCCACGACUUCGAGGGUCUCUCCUUUGUUUCAAAUGUUCCUUUUGUAAUCAUUGAUCUCACAAACUUUAGAGGAAUUGAUGUAGAUGUAGAAAACAGAACUGCUUGGGUUCAAUCUGGUGCAACCCUUGGUGAACUUUACUACAAAAUUGCCCAAAAAAGCAAAACUCUUGGUUUCCCUGGAGGUGUUUGUCCUACUGUAGGUGUUGGUGGACACUUCAGUGGUGGUGGCUAUGGAACCUUGUUGCGUAAAUACGGUCUUGCGGCCGAUAACGUCAUUGAUGCUCACAUAAUUGAUGUGAAGGGUAGGUUUCUUGACAGAGAAGCAAUGGGUGAAGAUUUGUUUUGGGCUAUUAGAGGUGGUGGAGGAGCAAGUUUUGGUGUCAUAGUUUCAUGGAAGAUUAAACUUGUUCAAGUUCCAUCAACUGUAACGGUGUUUACUGUUCCAAGAACAUUGGAACAAAAUGCAACAAAGCUUGUUCACAAGUGGCAGUUUGUAGCUCAUAAACUUGAAGAAAACUUAGCCAUUAAUAUUAUCUUGCAAAGGCUAGAUUUAAAUUCAAGUAAACAAGGUGAGCCAAAGUCAACAGUACUAGCUUUAUUUCAAUCCUUGUUUCUAGGAAGUGUAGAUAACCUCUUACCCUUGAUGGAAGAAAAGUUUCCUGAACUUGGUUUGGUUAGAGAAGAUUGUGUUGAAAUGAGUUGGAUUGAAUCAGUUCUUUACCUUUUUCGGUUUCCAGAAGGCGAACCACUUGAAACGUUGCUCAACAGAACACUAGCUGCAAAGGAUAAUUCCAAAGCGAAAUCUGAUUUUGUCAAAAUUCCUAUUCCUGAAACUGGUUUAGAAGGAUUAUGGCCUUUGUUUGAUGAAGAUGGUGCGGAAGAUGUACUAAUGGUAUUGUUUCCUUAUGGUGGCAUAAUGGAUAAGAUUUCAGAAUCUGAAAUUCCAUUUCCACAUAGAUAUGGAACCUUAUACAAAAUUCAAUAUGCAGUGCACUGGCAUCAAGAAGGUGAUGAGGUGGAAAAGUUGCACAUCAAUUGGAUUAGAAAACUUUAUAGUUAUAUGGAACCUUUUGUUUCAAAGUCUCCAAGAGCUGCAUAUAUUAAUUAUAGAGACCUUGAUAUUGGGGUGAAUAACAUUAAUGGAUACACAAGCUACAAGCAAGCUAGUAUUUGGGGUGUUAAGUACUUCAAGAACAACUUCAAAAGAUUGGCAAAAGUGAAGACAAAAGUUGAUCCUCUAAACUUCUUCAGAAAUGAACAAAGUAUACCUUCUCAUGUGUCCAAGGGACGCAAAUAGAAUUUCUUGGAGCUCAAAAGGUCAUAGUAAUAAAAUACAAGCUGCUUUGUUAUUUCUCAAUGAUAGUUAUCUUUUAUAUGUGUACUUUUAAUUUAUACUCAUACUUAAGAAAGGAAUGAAUGAAUGCUUAUAGAUUAGCAGUGGCAGAUUCAUAAGCUUAUUGUAAAAUGUUGAGAAGUAUGGAAAUUCCCAACAAAUAGAAAAAUAAAAUGAUAGAAAGGUUUAUUUUGGAAUUGAUAGUAUGAAGAAGCUUAGUCAAUUGAUAGAAACUAAAUAGUUUUCAUAAGCAGUAACAAAAGAAAGAUAUACAACAGAUUGCAUAAAUGAAAGCUUCCCAAAUUUUCUGGUAAACCAUAUAGGACCAAAUUAUUCUUUCGACAUAUAGAUUAAAAAGGGAGCGAAAUCAGAUUUGUCAUCACUAUUAAUGUAUUUCUUCGAAACAUAAGUAAAAUUAGUCCUCCGCUAUUAAGUUAGGGCUCUUAAAUUAGAAAAUGCAGCACACAUGUUGCGAAAGAGAGGUCAGCUAGGUAAUGUCCUAGAGCCAAUCUUAAAUUUUCAUUCAGAAAGUUAGAAGAAAUGCAAAAACAGAUUUGUUGCAGAAAAUAUGAGCAGAGAGCCAAAGAAAAUAAAGGCAACAUGUUCCUCGUUAGAACCUUCUGAGUUAGUUUUGUGGAAAGCCAUAACGACGGAGAAAAACUACUAAUAGAUUUGUCAUUGGUGUGCCUAACUGGAUUUUCGACAGAAGGGUUGAUAGUUUCGCGUCAUAUCUAAGACCUCUAACAACCAAUCAUGCCAUAUUGAAAAUGAAAAUUACUAGUAGUGCUAUUCCAAAAGAAUAAAAAAGUUAUAAUUAAAGGCUUUUCGAUUUUUCUUGUCAAAAGGGGAUCUGAUAGAAUGCAUAUUUUUCUUGAAAACAACGGUAUAAUUCUUUCUGGAGUCCUAAAUACAAGAGACAGUUGAAUCAACAAAAGUUGUUUAGGACCGGAAGGAAUAAGAAGGAAGAGAAAGCAAUGGUUUCUUGGUUUUCAAGAUUUGGGAAAGUUCCCUCAAAAAGAUUUGGCACAAGCUCCGGAGCAAGCAUAGGACCAAAAAAAGCAAGGGAUAAUGAAGAUUUCUUAUGCUUGAAAUGGUUGAUUAUCUAACUUGCUUGGCAAAGAUAUUUCUUUUUCAGAACUGGUUCAUUAGGCACUAGUGGAGUGGUAGCAGUAAAAGGUUGAGGAAAUGUCAUUGAUGGUUGGAAGAAAGAGGAGGGAAGAAGAAGGGUUAGAGCUAAUGAAGUGAGAUUAAAAUCACAAAGACAAUGGUUAUUUAUAAGGAGAAAUUGGAAAAAAACAGUUGCUAAAAUCUAGGAAAAUUAUGUGAUUGCUUAAUUUUCAGGUACAAGAAAUUGAUUGGUUAAUUUUGUACGAGCAAGUGGUCGUGGAUAUGAUUAAAUUCAGAUUUUUGGAAGUGGUUUUUAGUAACAACUUCACUCUAUUUAAUGCUAUUAUUUGCAAAAUGUCCUUCAAUGAAAUCAAUUUCCAUAUAACCAAGUUGUUUGGGCUCCAGCGGCAAGGAGUUCCUUCCAAGGACGUAUUCGGAGAAUACCGGGUUCGAUUCUCAGGGGAAACAACGCUUGGCCAGUGCGCAUGCCUCUACGCAUGAGCCGAAUUAAUUGUCCACCUUUGGUGGGUCGGAAACCGAUGCGAAAGCAAAAAAAAAAAAUCAAAAUAUAAUUAAAAGUAUUGGGUAGUUUAGGAAGUACAAUUAUGUUUUUGUUUACAUCAAGAAAAUUAAUUAAAUUUAACCACUUUUCUUAAUCUAUAUAAAAAAAAAGUUGUAUUACUCAUAAUUGAAUGAGAGAGAUCCAAGGAAAAAAGUGAAUAGAGUACUUUAUCUAACAUGUACAAGUAAAAUGGUAUUGCAUUAUGUAUAAAUAUCAUUUUUUAUCAUUGAAUUGAAAAAUCAUAUCAUAUUUAAUUUAAUUUAAUAGUGAGAUUUAUUUCACUUGUGGAUAAUAGAAUUGGCCAAAACAUAUCUAAGAAAAACGAAUUGGCCAAAACAUGGAUAUGUUCUUGGCAAAAUCACACCUUAAAGAAAAUAGUUUGAAUCUAGGUUUAUCGAUAACGGAACUUGAGAUUCAGUUAGAGCAGUUGAUAAUACGUACCAAUAGUAAACGUGAUCAAAUGGUACCUAGCAAAUAAUUUACUUAUCAGAAGUGGACUCAUGUGAACCAAACCAUUGGGAUUAUGUGGGGUAACUCAGUAGUUAUUUUUGGAUCCAGGUCUACAAGAUUUACCGUCUAACUUGUUCACGUGGAAGAUACUCGGUUUGUUUCCAAAAAAUAUGAUAUAUGUGUAGUCAAAUACUCUAAAAUAUCAUGAUAAAUAAUUUUUUUUUUUGAAAAAACUAAACUAGUCCAACCAAAUUGACAAAAUAUGGAGAUCAACCAUGAGAUCUUGAGGAAGAGUCCUAAGCCAAUACUACCGGACCAAUCCAAGUGAAUUUCAUGUUAAAUAUCAAGAGAGUUUAAUAUCAUUAGUCUAUUAGUUCAUUAGUCUAUUUUAAACAUAGAACAAAUUGAUACUUAAUUAAAUGUGUUCAUAUGAAAUGAUUUGUUUUUGGUCGAAAAUAUGAAAUAGAUUUUUAAAUAGACUAAUAACUCAUACCAGACUUUCAAAAUAUUAGACUUAAAUCUUUUACAUCUCUGACUUCAGUCUUGCAAAUAUUAGAUUAUUAAGGGUUCUAGCAGAAAAAAAAAAUCAACUAAAAAAUAGUUAGUUGUCGAAUUUCCUAUAAUUUUGAUGUAUAUUUAUAUUUAAGUUUUGAAAUAAAAAUGAAUUGCUAAGGGUAAUUUUGUUUAGCAAAAGGUCCGGUCAAUAGGUAGUUAAUUGAUAGUUAACUUUCGAGUUGCCUUUAUAAAAUUUAGCGGAAAUACGAACACUUUUUUUUUUUUUUUUAUUGUUUUUCGUUGUACAUAUAUUUUACAUAAACUUAUUUAAAUUCCAUUUUUAAUAUUAAGUUUAUACAUUUUUAAGUUUGAAAUAUAAAAAUAAUGUUCAACAAAGAUAGGUAAUUACUUUUCAAAUACCCUAUAAUUAUGUCGUCGAUUUGAGUUUAAAUUUAAACGUAAUAAAUUAAAUGGUUUUCUUAAGGUGAACUUGGUUAAAAAAAUAUCUAACCAAAAAAUAACUACAUGAUAGAUAAGUUUUGAGUUUUUGUCCAAAAAAAAUGUACCUUUUGAGUUGUUGACAAACAUACACAGACAUGAGACACAUAAAUGGAGAGAGAGAUAUAUCAAACUACAUCAAUGAAUGUUACGUCAAUAUUACACCGCUCAAUAAUACAGUAUUACAUUACGCAACAACACUUAUGCUAGACUCCAAACACUUGGUUAUUUAGAAAACUCAUAAGCGUAAUCACUUGGAUUAUGAGUCAAAAAAUCAGUUGAAUUAAAUUUUAAUUUGCUGCAAGCCUGCAACUUGAAGAGGUUGAUGAGAGAUUAAUUAAAACAUAUGUUUUUUUUAGGGGAUAAAGCAUAUGUUGUUUAUAUUUAUUAAUAUUGUUCGAGUCUUUAGUCCUCUUUUUUUUAAAAUAAAAAUAAAAAUUGAUGAAUAGAAUAAUUAGUUAUGCUUAUUGAAAUAGCAGACAAGAUAAUCAAACAUUAGAAACAGUCAAAAACAAAAGGGAGCCAAGCAAUCGAAAUACAUUAAAACAGCUCUAAAUAGUAUAAAUAGCAUACAAAUCAAUCAUAUACAAUUAAACACAAAACUAAUUUGCUUCUCCAAUAUGAUGUCACUUUGGAAUAAGUGGCUUAGACCAAGGUGUGUUCUUCUCCAAUUGUCACAUAUAUAUUAAUAAUUUAGUGCAUGCUUUCUCUGAAUUGGAUUGUGAUGUUUCAACGAUAACUAAUACUAGUAAUUAAAUUUGUUUCUAAUACAAGACGUACGGUCAUGUAUCUGUUUUCUUAAUUUAUGCAACUUUUGUAAUGGUCCCCUUGCAUUGCAUAUUUAUUGUUUAGCAAGUAGCCAUAACCACUUCUAAUUCAAACCAAAGAAACUUUAUUUUAAUAAUAAUAAAAUGUUGAAAUAAAACCACAUACCCUGUCUGUUUAGCAAGGAAAAUUUUCUAAGCUUUGUGCAUCAAGUAAAAAAGGUGAGUCAAAGUCAACAGUACUAGCUUUAUUUUAAGCCUUGUUUUUUUGGAGGUGUAGAUGAACUCAUGCCCUUGAUGCAAGAGAAGUUUCCUGAGCUUGGUUUGGUUAGAGAAGGAAUAUGGCCUAUAUUUGAUGAAGAUGGUGACAAUGAUACUGUUUCCUUAUGGUGGCAUAAUGGAUAAUAUUUCAGAAUUUGAAAUUCCAUUUCCACAUAGAUAUGGACAUGGCCAGUUAUGUGUAACUGCAACAAGGCCCUUGGCGCCGCAAAGCCUCUAACAUAAACGGGCCUCAAAAUUUGAAAAUAAAAAGCUUGUACUCACUAAGGAUGUUUUUUCUGUCCAUAAAAAAAUUACUUUAUAGUUAAAAAAAAAAUGUAUCAAAACCACCGUUGAAUACUUCUUUGGAAAAAGUUGGAAAUUUUGGGUGUGCCUGUCGUAUUAUGUGUCACAUAUAUGUGGGAUGUUAUUUAGUGUUUUGAGGUCUAUUGAACAAGCUAUAUUUGUGAGUUUGAUACCUGUUUUUGUUUAGUAAAAUACAUUUUUAGUUACUAUAUAUUUAAAUUUUCAAGUUUUGUAUUUUGCGGUGAUUAAAAAAUUCACAUUUUUUUAUUCCAUACAAGUAAUCAAUUCCAUCUAAAAAUUGAUGUCAGUUUAGCCAUUGAAAAAUCUAUACAAACCUGUGAAUGCCUUCAAAUAAUUGGAAGGUUAACAUUGAAUCUUAUGAAUGACAUCCAAGAGGGUUGUCUUACAUUGCAAUGGAUUUUAACCUAAAAAGCUAUUACGUGUUAAUCUAAGGUUAAUUAAUUUUCUGAGACUCAAGGCUUUGAUUGGCUUGAAGAAAUCGAUUGACAUUUCUAUGAUGAUCAAAGGUAGCAUUAAUAAUUUGAUCGGAUGCAACGUCUUCUUUCAAAUCUCAGCCAUGACAAAAAAAAAAAAAAAUGAAGGUUCAAGUUAGCAAAAGUGCACAUUUUUAUUUGAAUAAAAAAAAAUUAAUAUUCAUUAGUGUAAACCAAUUUAAAGCAAGAGAUAAUUAAGUAAAUAUCCCUCAAGCUAUUUAUUAUAAAAUACAAGUGGAUCUAAGUUAGCAAAUUUGUGAAGUUAACAAAUAUGUUUUAACACUAUUUUUUCAUACAUAAGACUAUUAUAAUUUUUUUCAUCAAUUGGAGGCUUUAGUUUUUUCCAAGAGCAUGCAUUCCCACUUGUUUCUAUUGAAAAAUCAUAAGCCUAAUCAGUUGGAUUAAAGUAAUGUUGCAACUUGAAGAGAUUGAUGAGAGAUUUAUUGAAUAAUCAGAUUAGAUUGGUUUUUUUUUUAAAAGAGUCAGAUUAGAUUGUUGUUAACUACUCUCUAAUUUUAUUUUAUUUUUGGUCAAGAACUACUCUCUAAUUAAUUUUGUUUUAACAUGAAUAAAUAUGAUAUUGUUCAAUUUUUCGGUCCUCUUUAUUUUUUUAAUAAACAUGCAAAAUGCAGUGAUAAAAGGAAUAAUUAGUAAUGCCGAUUGAAGUAGUAGUAGACAAGAUAAUCAAAAACGAGGACGCCAACUACCACAAGCCACCAAAAGACAUAAAAACAUAAUCUAAAUUUAAAUAGUAAAUUGUUUAAAGACUAAAUUACAUAUCAUGUGAGUAAUUCAACAACAAUUCCGAAUAAAAUUACAUAAGAUUAAUUUACCUAAAGUAUAAUUUAAAGGGGUGAAGAUCCUCUCCAUUUAACAAAAUAAAUGGAGUUUUGCUAGUUUGAGAGAGAUAGACACAAGAAAUAGAUGGUGGGUCCUACUACUAAGUGGAUUCCACCAUCAUUAAUUAUAUUUUACUUUUUUCAAGAUUUUAUGUGUCUUUAUCUCUCCAAAUUGAAAAAAUGGAGAAACGCAUAAAUGGAGAGGAUCUUAAUCCAAUUUAAAGACUAGGCUAAACUAAUUAACUAGAUGCCAAUUUGAAUUAACUGGAUUGGGCCAAGUGUCCAAGUUGUGUUCUCUCCAAUUGUCACUUGCAUACAUACUUUUAAACUAAUUUUUUGAAUCUUUUUUUAUACAUUGUUUCUACCAUAUAUUUUUGUCUCUGGAUCUUAUGAUGUUUCAACAAUAACUUAAAUUAAUAUCUUCACCAAAAAAAAAAAUAACUUAAAUUAAUAUGCAUCUAAUAGAUAACAGUCAUUUAUAUAUUGAAAUAAGAAGCGUGUGAUUCCAAUUAAUAAUUACAGUUAACUUAAAUGGACCAAUAGAUUAUUCGUUUUGUUUAUUCAACUUUUUAGAAUGGUCUUCCUGCAUGUUUAACAAGCAGUAUCAACCACUUCUUUUAGUCAAAAAAAAAAUCAACCUCUUCUUGUUAAAAUCAAAUAAAAAUAUUUAUUUUAAUGAAAUUGAUAGAGACUCAUACCUUGUAUGAUUGCCCGGGGUUUUCUUUUGUUUUGUUUUUUUAUAGUAAGGACGGGACUUUUCUAAUAUAAAAUGAUUCAAAUUCUAAGCUAUAGUUUCACGUGAUUGACUUACUUCUCUACUAUGCAUGUUGGAUUUAGAAAACUUUAACUAGUUGGAAUUUCCUUAGUAGAGAAUUUAUGAAAACAACUUUGGCAGUUUAUAAUUUUUUUUUUCUUCUUUCAAAAAAUAAUAAUAAUUGUUUUUCUAACUUAUUUUCAUAUGCUCUCUACGAUUAAUCAAGUGAUUUGAUUUAAAAGUUCUACCAAUGACACAUUGUUCAAGAAAACUUGAGAGAAUUUAUUUUCAUAUGCUCUCGAUGAUAACUUAUGAAAACAAACUAUGAUUUGAGGGACAGAUAGUUAUUUUGAUAUUUAAAUGUGUAACGAAUAGUCGCAGUAGUAUCUCAAUGUAUUUGAAUUUUAAAAUAGUCUUUGAUUUUCAUUUUGUUGGUCAAAUAGUCUCGGAAGUGACAAUAAAUAAGUAUAUUGAAGUACUAAUAUGACUAUAUUAACAAAGUAUUUUAAUGUUACAAACUAUUUUGACUAACGAAAUGCAUAAUCGUAGACUAUUUUAAAAUUUUGAUACAUUGAUGGACUAUUAUAUGGCUACUCCUUACAUACAAAAUGAUAAUUACCUUUUAUAAAUAAAACACAAUAUGUUGAGAAUAAGAACAACAACCUUAUGCAAAACUUGUGGAAUCAAAUAAGUGCACAUUUGCUAACUUAUAUGAGAAACAAAUUGUUUUUAUAGUUUUGUUACAAAAAAUAGUUUUUUUUAAACAAUUAGAUAAAGCACAAUUAUGCAAUAAGUGUUUAAUUGUUAAUCCACAUGGAUAUUUAUCUUCGAGCAUGUAGAAACCCGCCUAUAAAUUUGAAGCAUCAUAUGCACAACAUUACUAAAACAAAAUGAUGCCUCUAAGCUCAUAUUUGUCUGUUGCACUUAUUGCUAUUUUAUUUUCAUAUGCAUCUUCUGCAAUUGAUACUAAUACUUAUGAAGAUAACUUCCUUCAAUGUCUUUCUAGUUAUUCACAUAACUCAACUUCAAUCUCUAAAGUUGUGUACACCAAAACCAAUCCCUCUUACUCACCAGUACUCAAAUUUACAACUCAAAAUCUAAGAUUUGCAUCCUACAAAACACCAAAACCACUUGUCAUCAUCACACCUCUAGAACCUUCCCAUAUUCAAACAGCCAUAAUUUGUUCCCAAAAUCAUGGCCUCCAGAUUCGAACCCGUAGUGGGGGCCAUGACUUUGAGGGCCUAUCCUAUGUUUCAGAAAUUCCAUUUGUUGUCAUUGAUCUCAUAAACUUCAAGGAAAUUGAUGUAGAUGUAGAAAGCAGAACUGCUUGGGUUCAGUCUGGUGCAACACUUGGUGAACUUUACUACACAAUUAGCCAAAAAAGCCGAAAUCUUGCUUUCCCAGCUGGUGCUUGUCCUACAAUAGGUGUUGGUGGACAUUUCAGUGGUGGCGGCUAUGGAACCUUGUUGCGUAAAUAUGGUUUAGCCGCGGAUAAUGUAAUCGAUGCUCACAUAAUUGAUGUGAAAGGUAGGUUACUUGACAGAGAAGCAAUGGGUGAAGAUUAUUUUUGGGCUAUUAGAGGUGGUGGAGGAGCAAGUUUUGGAGUCAUAAUUUCAUGGAAGAUAAAACUUGUUGAAGUUCCAGCAACAGUGACGGUGUUUACAGUUCCAAGAGCAUUGGAACAAAAUGCAACAAAGCUUGUUCACAAGUGGCAGUAUUUGGCAAGUAAAAUUGAUGAAAACAUAGCCAUCAAUAUUGUCUUUCAAAGGAUAAAUUCAAGUAAAAAAGGCGAGACAACAAUUCUAGCUAUAUUUCAAGCCUUGUUUCUUGGAGGUGUAGAUAAACUCAUUCCCUUGAUGGAUCAAAAGUUUCCUGAGUUGGGUGUGGUCAGAGAAAAUUGUAUUGAAAUGAGUUGGAUUGAAUCGGUUCUUUACCUUUUUCAAUUUCCGAAAGGUGCAUUACCUGAAGUGUUGCUUAACAGAACACUAGCUGCAAACAGCCCAAGAUUUAUUUACAAAGCAAAAUCUGAUUUUGUGAAAACUCCCAUUCCUGAAAAUGGAUUAGAAGGAAUAUGGUCUUUGUUUCAUGAAGAAGGUGCCAAAGGUGCAAUGAUGAUAUGGUUUCCUUAUGGUGGAAUAAUGGAUACUAUUUCAGAGUCUGAAAUUCCAUUUCCACAUAGAAAAGGAAAUUUAUAUCAUAUUCAUUACCAGGUUGAUUGGCAACAGGAAGGUGAUGAGGUGGAAAAACUGCACAUUAAUUGGAUUAGAAAACUUUAUAAUUACAUGGAACCUUUUGUUUCAAAGUCUCCAAGAGCUGGAUACAUCAAUUAUAGAGACCUUGAUAUUGGUGUGAAUAACAUUGAUGGAUACACAAGCUACAAGCAAGCUAGUAUCUGGGGUGUUAAAUACUUCAAGAACAAUUUCAGAAGAUUGGCAAAUGUGAAGACCAAAGUUGAUCCUCUAAACUUCUUCAGAAAUGAACAAAGUAUACCUUCUCUUGUGUCCAAGGGACACAAAUAAAUUAAUUGGAGUAGCUAAGGUCACGAUAAUAAAAAAUAAGCUGUUUUGUUAUUUCUCUUUUAUAUGUGUAUCUUUUCUUUAUAAAUAAAGGUUUAGGGGAGUGGGGUCUAGAGCUAAGGGGUAAAGGCUUCAAGGCUCAAAGAGCAUUUUUAGAGAGAUAAUUACAUAUUACAUGCCAACAAGGUCUUCUUCAAUCGGGAGCAAGAAGAUUUCCACAUCUUUUUUGGAUGAGUAUCUGAUGCAGCAUUCAUCAACCCCUAGAUAUUCUAUGUGUGUAUUUAUUUUUACAUGUUUGUUUACUUUUACUUAAAACAAUGAUACUUGAAUAAAUUACUAAAGUUUGGUGUUAAACUUGACAUAUAUUUGUGUUUAUUGAAAGGAUAUUCCUGCGAAAACUGCUGGUUACACCCCCUAUAUUUGUAGUUAGCCCUUUGACACCAUUUAAUCAACAAAAUGGCCAAAGAAUGCCUAUAACUAGCCGGUAACAGUUGCUAAAACUUUCGAGAUACAUGCUCAUAUAUCUUCAACGACAACUUUGAAUGACAUCACAAGUUAGCUAAACUAUCAGUACAUUUAUUAGUUUCUCGGAAAAUAUGCUUAAUUUUGGCCUCAUGAUCUUCUUAUUGGGAACAACAAGACCUCACCCAUUAGUCGCGCUUACAUACUUGCCCUACAAACAAUCAACUACAUUAACUUUAGAAUCCAUAAGAAGCCUCCUACAUGUUAAAUAUCUUUUUCUUGUGAAUUGAAGACCCUCUUAUCAUCUACUCCUAUGCUGGUCAGAGUUAUACCGAAAAAAUUGGACAAACCUCAAAUUUAAGCACCAUUUGCAUCCCUUAACACCCCUCCGAAACAUGUUAACCUAGAAUUUUGAUGAGCACGAUCCGUAUUGAUAUGAACGCAUCCUGGCAGGGGCAGUUUCCAGUUGAUACUCAUACACGUCUUCAUCUUUAUCGUUGGUUGAAAUAAGGCAGCAUCAUUAUGGUAGUCACUCACUUGUUUGAAAACAACAAUCCGAAGUUUGUUACGUAAAUUCUAGGAUAAGUAUGUUUAAGUAAAUUCUGUUCAAGUACACUUUUGGUGAGAUUUGAGAAUUUGAUAGAGUUUGGGAUAAUUUGGCUUAUUUUGGCUUUUUAAAACCUGCCAUGAUGUUACUUAGAAUUAUGGGAUGAAACUAUAAGUUGUAUUCCAUGCUCUGUUGUAAACAUUUUGAGAAUUACAUAAGUAUUUAUAUUGUUUACUGUUUUUAUGCAUUUCGAAUUUCAAUUUGUUUGGAAAAGAUAUAUUUGCACACAGUUUUUUAGAACUAGCAUGCUCAUGUUCUUGUAUAAAAAAAAAAAAAAAAAUCAAAAUGCUCAUAUAACAUGUUGGCUGGACCACCUUCAUGUUGUUCAACCAUCGCAAGUCCUCGUCUCCAGCUAUGAAAUGACGACUUGGAAGGCAACUAUUCCAGACUGGAUCAAGGUCCAAUCCUAAAGUGUGAAGGCUUAAUAAAGAUUCUGAUCCAAAUAUGGAUCACCUACUCCUACAUAAAUAAGGCUGCAAAACAGAGAAAGGGAUUACUCGGAUCACAAUCACACGAUUACUCGGAUCACAUGUCCAGACUGGAUCUAGGUACUCUUAUCACAAUCACACGAUUACUCGGAUCACAUGUCCGAGAAAGCACAACCGCCUAACAUCCUCGUGCUUACGCGGAAACUUCAACCGUCUAUAAAAAAGGAGUCACCCACUCUAAAAAAUUAGCACACUCUCAUUUAAAAAAAGCCUCUUUAUUACAAGUACAUCAUUUUGCUCCGGUGAAAGACAACCGCAUCCCACCUACUCUGGUCGUCGUCCUUACACUUUCUUUUCCACUUGAAAUGUAUAAUUUAAAGACUAAACUAAUUAAUUAAGUGGAUUGGAUUGAACCAAGUUAUAUUCUCUCCAAUUGUCAAUUGCAUACUACAAAACUAUUAUUUUUUUGUGCAAGUUAACUCUUUAUUAAAGCUUUGUUUUAAACAUAUUUCCUUGUCUCUGAAUUGGACUACGAUGUUUAAACAAGAAUUAAUACUUAAAUAUGUUUCUGAUAGAUGAGUUCAUUUUUAUAUAUUGAAAUAAGAAGCAUGCUCCCAAUUAGCUCGCUUUCUUUAUGCAAAAUUUAGAAUGGUAGUAAGUAGCAACAACCACUUCUUAUCAAAUAAAAAAUUGAUUUCAAUGAAGUUAGAUAAAACAACAAAAGAAAAAACACCAUACCCUGCCGGCUUAACAGGGAGAACUAUUGUAUAAAAUUGAAAAAGUCAAGAUUCAAAUGUGUAGUUUCACAUGCUUGACUUGUCUACCAUAGUAGUUUUAGCAGAUACUUUAUUUAGGAGAUAAGCGUUUGAGAAAUUUUUCAUAAGUUGUUUUUCAACUUAUUUCUAUAAAAAUUCCUAGGAUAACUUAUGAUAACGGUUUAUAAUAUAUGAAAACAGACUGUUUUAUUCUUUCUUUUUUGUAAUAUAGUUUAUAAAAUGAAACGAAAAAAAUUAUACGUAAGCACUUAUUUGAUAAGCGGUUAUGUAAUAAGUGUUUAAUUUGUCUAUCCACUGUAGAUUUAUUCUCUACACCCACUAGAGUCUAAAAUCUAGCACAAGUGGUUGGUGCGAAGUUUAAAAAAAUGAAACAAAAUAAAGUUUACAUAAGCACUUAUUUAAUAAGCGGAUUAUAGAUUUCAACUCCAAAUUAUUCUAUAUACCAAUAAAAAUUAGAGCAUAGAGUGACACUUAUAAAUUUGAAGCAUCUUAUGCACAACACUACACUAACAAAAAAAUGAUGCAUCUAGGCUCAUACUUGUCUAUUGUACUAAUUGCUAUUUUAUUUUCAUUUACAUCUUCAGCAAUUGGUACUACUACUACUACUAAUGAAGAUAAUAGCUUCCUUCAAUGUCUCUAUAGCUAUUCACAUAACUCCACUUCAAUCUCUAAAGUUGUGUACACCAAAGCCAAUUCAUCAUACACAUCAAUACUCCAAUUUUCAACUCAAAAUCUCAGAUUUGCAACCAACAAAACACCAAAACCACUUGUAAUUGUCACACCUCUAGAAAUUUCCCAUAUUCAAGCAACCGUAAUUUGUUCCCAAUACCACAGCCUGCAGAUUCGAAUUCGCAGCGGCGGUCACGACUUUGAGGGUCUGUCUUAUGUCUCUGAAGUUCCAUUUGUUGUCAUUGAUCUCAUAAACUUCAGAGAAAUUGAAAUAAAUGUACACAAAAAAACUGCAUGGGUUCAAUCUGGUGCAACACUUGGUGAACUUUACUACGCAAUUAGCCAAAAAAGCAAAACUCUUGGUUUCCCUGCAAGUGUUUGUCCUACUGUAGGUGUUGGGGGACACUUCAGUGGUGGUGGAUAUGGAACCUUGUUGCGUAAAUACGGUCUUGCAGCCGAUAACAUCAUUGAUGCCUACAUAAUUGAUGUGAAGGGUAGGUUUCUUGACAGAGAAGCAAUGGGUGAGGAUUUCUUUUGGGCUAUUAGAGGUGGUGGAGGAGCAAGUUUUGGUGUCAUAGUUUCAUGGAAGAUUAAACUUGUUGAAGUUCCAUCAAUUGUGACAGUGUUUACUGUUCCAAAAACAUUGGAACAAAAUGCAACAAAGCUUGUUCACAAGUGGCAAUUUUUGGCAAGUAAACUUGAUGAAAAUAUAGCCAUGAAUAUUGUCUGGCAAAGGGUAAAUUUAAAUUCAAGUAAAAAAGGUGAGUCAAAGUCACCGGUACUAGUUUUAUUUCAAGCUUUGUUUCUUGGAGGUGUAGAUAAACUCAUACCCUUGGUUCAAGAGAAGUUUCCUGAGCUUGGUUUGGUUAGAGAAUAUUGUAUUGAAAUGAGUUGGAUUGAAUCUGUUCUUUACUUUUUUCAGUUUCCAAAAGGUUCUACACCUGAAGUGUUGCUUAACAGAACACAAGCUACACUUGAUAUAUUCAAAGCAAAAUCUGAUUUUGUGAGAAUUCCAAUUCCUGAAACUGGAUUAGAAGGCAUAUGGCCUUUAUUUGAUGAAGAGGGUUCCAAAGAUGCAAUGAUGAUAUGGUUUCCAUAUGGUGGCAAAAUGGAUACUAUUUCAGAGUCUGAAAUUCCAUUUCCUCAUAGAAGUGGAAACUUAUUCAUGAUUCAAUACUCGGUUCAUUGGCAUCAAGAAGGUGAUGAGGUGGAAACACUGCACAUUAAUUGGAUUAGAAAACUGUAUAGUUAUAUGGAACCUUUUGUUACAAAGUCUCCGAGAGCUGCAUAUAUUAAUUACAGAGACCUUGAUAUUGGUGUGAAUAACAUUAAUGGGUACACAAGCUAUAAGGAAGCUAGUAUUUGGGGUGUUAAGUACUUCAAAAAUAACUUCAAAAGGUUGGCAAAAGUUAAGACUAAAGUUGAUCCUCUAAAUUUCUUCAGAAAUGAACAAAGUAUACCUUCUCAUGUGUCCAAGGGACGCAAAUAGAGUUUUCUGGAGUGGCAUAGGUCAUAAUGAUAAAAUAGUAGCUGCUUUGUUAUUUAUCUUUUAUAUGUGUAUCUUUUCUUUGUUAUAAUAAAAGUAAAUUGAUUUUUAUUUGUGUGUAA
rnacentral:lncRNA from 1 species